AGGAGGAAAAGAACUCCGAAGGGUCUCACAUAGGCAAUCAAAUGCCUCAGCCUCGAAGUCAAUUAUUCUUCAUCUCAUUGGCCAGAACUGGUCACAUGGCACUACUUAAGCAAAUGCCAGAAGUAUUAUCUUGCCACGUCCAGGAAAAGCACAAAUCUGGACAUUUCAAAGGCUGAGACCAUCAUCUGAAAAAGCCUGGGUUAGCCCCCUGGAGGACAAGAAACAACUUGGAGCAGAGAUGAACAGUCCUUGCUGAGGCACCUAGAUCCCUAACCUGCAAACCUUAAAAUAUGUGAGUGAAGUCAUCCUACACUAUCUAGACCAUAGGAGUUGCCAGCUGACCACAGAUACAGCAAAGCAAGCACAAGCCAGAAAAAAACUGCCAGCAUAUCCCCAGAAUUGUGAGCAAAUGAAAUUGUUGCAUUAAGCCACUAUGCUUUGAAGUGGUUUGUAACAGAGCAAAAGCUAACUGAUACACUGGUUAAUCCAUUUUUAAUAAAUCAAUAGAUUCAGAUCCCUGCAUUGUAAAGUUCCCCACCAAUCUUUCAAUUAAUGCUCAUCCACUGAUUGUUGCCUAUAUCAAUGUUUAAUUUCAUGCAAAUCAAUAACUUUUUUCCUUUUUUUUUUUGAGACAGGGUUUUGCUCUGUCACUCAGGCUGGAGUGCAGUGGCACAAUCAUGACUCACUGAAGCCACGAUCUUCUGGGCUCAAGCAAACCUACCACCUCAGCCUCCCAAGCAGCUGAGACUGACUACAGGCACGUACCACUCUGCCUGGUUUUGUUAUUUUUAACUUUUUUUGUAGAUAUGGGGUCUAGCUAUGUUGCUCAGGCUGGUCUCGAACUUCUGAGCUUAAGCCAUCCUCCCACCUUGGCCUCCCAAAGUGCUGGGAUUAUAGGUGUGGGCCACCAUGCCUGGACUAAUGAUGAUUCUCUAAUUCUAUCAUAUCUUCCACAUCAAUGAGCAGGAAUUCUUCUGCAAAGCACUUUCUCUCAUCUACCAGGGUUAUGUCUGUACAUGAUAGAUGCCCAAUUCUUUCCUUUUAAAUACAAAUAUUCAAAUGAGUAAUUCUGCCCUAGUUACAUCCCAUGGAGUCCAAUGAGGGUUUUGUUUUGGUCUUUUAUUUUUUCUCUUCUAUCAAUAUGGAUUCACUUUUAAAUAUAUUCAGUAUGGUUGUAGUCAACUGUAAAAUUUUUUUUCCUGCUCAAAUUGCCCUUUUUUUUUUUUUUUUCUAAUAAGAGUACCUUCAUGUUAGCUUCUGUAUCCUCUUGACAUUAUCCAUUAGUCUACUUUCUGGCACAACAAAAUGUCCCAGGCUAAUCUUGUCUAUUUCUUGUCACACUUUUGGAAUUGGCCAUUCCUCCAAAGAGUCUUGGUUCCAAUUAAUGGGAAAGGUAUUUAGAGAUCACAAUCUGGGUAUUUGAUGUGCUCACUGAUACUUGGAUGUCACUGCUUCUAGAUCUUUUCAUGGACUUAAGAAAUAGUAUUCUUAAAUAAGAGAAAGAGGGCCGGGUGUGGUGGCUCACGCCUGCAAACCCAAUGCUUCGGGAGGCUGAGGUGGGCAGAUUGCUUGAGCCCAGGAGUUUGAGACCAGCCUUUACUCCAGCCUGGGUGACAGGGCAAGACUUUAUCUCAAAAACAACAACAAAAAGUAAGAUUAUGUGUUUCUAACCCUUCUCUGAGGUUUUCAAGCCAGAACAAAUAAAAGUAAAGGCCGGGUGCGGUGGCUCAUGCCUGUAAUCCUAGCACUUUGGGAGGCCAAGGUGGGCAGAUCGCUUGAGCUCAGGAGUUUGAGACAAUCCUGGGCAACACGGUGAAACCCCUUCUCUACAAAAAAUACAAAAACUAGCCAGGCAUGGCGUUAUGCACCUGUAGUCCCAGCUACUUGGGAAGCUGAGGUGGGAGGAUGGCUUGAGUCCAGGGGAUGGAGGCUGCAGUGAGCCAAGAUCGAGCCACUGCACUAUAGCCUGGGUGACAGCUAGACCCUACUGCAAAAAAAUAUUUUUUUUAAUUAAAAAGUAAAAUCACUCGUUUUACAGGGCCCACCUCAGGUUCCAUAACCUCAGUGAAACCCUUCCAUAAGUACUUUCUCUUUUCUGACUUCUUACAUUGUUUACUGUCUAUAUUGCUCACUUAGUCCUUUGCAUCAAUCAAUCAAUUAAAAAAUUAAUGCACUACGAUCUGAAGAGCACCAGAGUGGAUGCUGUGGGGAUGCAAUGUAUUACCCAUUAAAUUUUCAUGUGCAGUCACUUCCUUGAUUAAGCUAUAUACUGAAGCCAAACCUUUCUAAUUUCCCCCAUGGUGGCCAGUACUGCUGAUUGAUAAAAACAGAAUUCCUUUACCCCAAAUAUUGAAAAGAAUGUAAAUAAAAACUGAAACAAAUUGAUAAAAAUCCUUUUAAUAAA